rnacentral:misc_RNA from 1 species
GAUGAAGAACGUAGCGAAAUGCGAUAAGUAAUGUGAAUUGCAGAAUUCAGUGAAUCAUCGAGUCUUUGAACGCACAUUGCGCCCGCUGGUAUUCCGGCGGGCAUGCCUGUUCGAGCGUCAUUUCAACCCUCAAACCCCCGGGUUUGGUGUUGGGGAUCGGCUCUGCCUCACGGCGGUGCCGCCCCCGAAAUACAUUGGCGGUCUCGCUGCAGCCUCCAUUGCGUAGUAGCUAACACCUCGCAACUGGAACGCGGCGCGGCCAUGCCGUAAAACCCCAACUUCUGAAUGUUGACCUCGGAUCAGGUAGGAAUACCCGCUGAACUUAAGCAUAUCAAUAAGCGGAGGA